GAUUCUCUCUCUAUUUGACGGUAGGAUUCUCUCUCUAUUUGACGGUAGGAUUCUCUCUCUCUAUUUGACGGUAGGAUUCUCUCUCUAUUUGACGGAUUCUCUCUCUCUAUUUGACGGUAGGAUUCUCUCUCUCUAUUUGACGGUAGGAUUCUCUCUCUCUAUUUGACGGUAGGAUUCUCUCUCUCUAUUUGACGGUAGGAUUCUCUCUCUCUAUUUGACGGUAGGAUUCUCUCUCUCUAUUUGACGGUAGGAUUCUCUCUCUCUAUUUGACGGUAGGAUUCUCUCUCUAUUUGAUGGUAGAAUUCUCUCUAUUUGACGGUAGGAUUCUCUCUCUCUAUUUGACGGUAGGAUUCUCUCUAUUUGACGGUAGGAUUCUCUCUAUUUGACGGUAGGAUUCUCU
ensembl:lncRNA